rnacentral:rRNA from 1 species
UACAGAGGUGGCAAGCGUUGUUCGGAAUUACUGGGCGUAAAGGGCGCGUAGGCGGUCUUUUAAGUCUUGUGUGAAAUCCCUCGGCUCAACUGAGGAACUGCACGGGAUACUGGAAGACUUGAGUUCGGGAGAGGGAAGCGGAAUUCCGGGUGUAGCGGUGAAAUGCGUAGAUAUCCGGAGGAACACCAGUGGCGAAGGCGACUUUCUGGUCUGUAACUGACACUGAGGCGCGAAAGCGUGGGGAGCGAACAGG